GAUGAAGAACGCAGCGAAAUGCGAUAAGUAAUGUGAAUUGCAGAAUUCAGUGAAUCAUCGAAUCUUUGAACGCACCUUGCACCCUUUGGCAUUCUGAAGGGUAUGCUCGUUUGAGUGUCAUUGUACUCUCACACUCCCGAUCUUUGCAUUGGGAGCAGUGGACUUGGGUUUGCUGCUUCACCGUCGCUUACCUCAAAAAGGUUAGUGCAACUCUUGGUUGGACAUAGUACGGCGUGAUAAGUGUUCUUCGCCGGUGCCUCGCAAAGAGGGUGGCCGAUCGGGAUGUUGUGCUCCAAACCGUCUUCGGACAAUCUCUGACGACUUGACCUCAAAUCGAGUAAGACUACCCGCUGAACUUAAGCAUAUCAAUAAGCGGAGGA
rnacentral:misc_RNA from 1 species